UGGGGAAUAUUGGACAAUGGGGGAAACCCUGAUCCAGCCAUACCGCGUGAGUGAAGAAGGCCUUCGGGUUGUAAAGCUCUUUCAGACGGAAAGAAACGGUUACGGCUAAUACCCGUGACUAAUGACGGUACCGUAAGAAGAAGCACCGGCUAACUACGUGCCAGCAGCCGCGGUAAUACGUAGGGUGCGAGCGUUAAUCGGAAUUACUGGGCGUAAAGCGUGCGCAGGCGGUUUGGUAAGACAGAUGUGAAAUCCCCGGGCUUAACCUGGGAACUGCAUUUGUGACUGCCAGACUAGAGUGUAGCAGAGGGGGGUAGAAUUCCACGUGUAGCAGUGAAAUGCGUAGAUAUGUGGAGGAAUACCGAUGGCGAAGGCAGCCCCCUGGGCUAACACUGACGCUCAUGCACGAAAGCGUGGGGAGCAAACAGGAUUAGAUACCCGCGUAGUCCCUGAGCGGGCUGGCAAGGCGCAU
rnacentral:rRNA from 1 species